rnacentral:misc_RNA from 1 species
GUAUUAGUUUGUGUGUUUUAGUACAGUGUGUGUGUGUAUGUUGGUGUUGGUGGUGUCGUAUCACGUAUUACCGUAACAGAUCCCACCAAUCAGAAUAAACAAUCCUCAAUACAGAAUAAAUCAUUGUUGAUGAUCCUUCCGCAGGUUCACCUACGGAAA